UAGCGUUACAGCUCUUUUAGAAUUUGUCUAGCAGAUGUUCUGGUCCUCACUGGAAGACCACC
rnacentral:snRNA from 1 species